rnacentral:rRNA from 2 species
UGCAUAUCAAUAAGCGGAGGAAAAGAAACUAACAAGGAUUCCCCUAGUAACGGCGAGUGAAGAGGGAAAAGCCCAAGUUUGAAAGCUGGCACCUUCGGUGUCCGCAUUGUAAACUCGAGAAGCAUUAUCCGCGCCGGACCAAGCUUUAAAUCCUUUGGAAUAAGGUACCUUAGAGGGUGAUAGUCCCUUUCAUAGUUUGGAACCCCCGGGGCUUUGUGAUUUGCUCUCCAAGAGUCGAGUUGUUUGGGAAUGCAGCUCAAAAUGGGUGGUAAAUGCCAUCUAAGGCUAAAUAUAGAGGAGAGACCGAUAGUGAACAAGUACCGUGAGGGAAAGAUGAAAAGAACUUUGGAAAGAGAGUUAAACAGUACGUGAAAUUGCCGGAAGGGAAGGGUAGGAAGUCAGAUAUGCCUUUGCGGAUUCAGCUUGACCUUUCGAGGUUGUGUGUAUUUCCGUUUGGGCAGGCCAACAUCGAUUUUGGCUGUCGGAUAUGAAUGGAAGGAAUGUGGCACUCUCUUCGGAGGGUGUGUUAUAGCCUUUUAUUUGGUACGGCGGCUGGGAUCGAGGAACGCAGUGCACCCUUUUAGGGCGGGCCUUUGGGCACCUUUGCACAUAGGAUGUUGGCUUAAUGGCUCUCUGCCACCCGUCUUGAAACACGGACCA